CAGUCGCCGCGGUAAUACGAAGGGGGCUAGCGUUGUUCGGAGUCACUGGGCGUAAAGCGCACGUAGGCGGAUUUUUAAGUCAGGGGUGAAAUCCCGAGGCUCAACCUCGGAACUGCCUUUGAUACUGGAGAUCUUGAGUUCGGAAGAGGUUGGUGGAACAGCUAGUGUAGAGGUGAAAUUCGUAGAUAUUAGCUAGAACACCAGUGGCGAAGGCGGCCAACUGGUCCGACACUGACGCUGAGGUGCGAAAGCGUGGGGAGCAAACAGGAUUAGAUACCCCUGUAGUCCCUGUCUCUUAUAA
rnacentral:rRNA from 1 species